CCAAGUCUAUCGUGGCCCCGCGUGUAGCUGGCGAACCAAAGGUCUAGAGGGGUGAGGACCAACCAAGUGUCAUGUGCCGUGUGCUUCGUCUUGCGAGUCAUGGAUGCUGCCGCUAGGAGCGAGAAGCCAUCCCGGCGCCGUCGUCCUCGCCGCGCUCGGCAGCCAUGCCCUCCGUCGAAGCUUCGUCCUGCUGCUCCGGCGCAGAGCUCUUCGUUUAGCUUGGCAGCCAUCCCAGCAGAGCCCCCACGUCGUGCGCGCCAUGCCGAGCCGCGAGGGCCCCGCUAGCUGCCAUCCGGCCUUGCGUGCCCCGCUUCCGCUCCACUGGGCUGCAACCCCAUGCGAGCAACAUCGCCGGCUGCAGUUUCGUCUAGCCGUCGAGCCACGGGGACCACGCCGCCGGCCGCCACUGCCCCGCCUAGCCACCGAGGAGCGAGGACAGCUAGGCCGGUGCCCUCUCGGCCCCCGCGCUGAGCUGAGUGCCGCCGUCGGGUGAGGCGGAGCGUACUUGGGAUCCGCUAUGGCAGCACCGGUGCCGCCGAUGGGCGCAGCGACCGCGGCCGCGGCAGACAGUAUCACGUAGCGUUGCCCCUUGGCCGCCACCUGUGCCUCGUGUCCUUAUCUACUCAGCCUGGUUCAGAACCCCCUCGCUCCCUCUCCUAGCCCCAAUCCCUAGCCAGAUGUUCCAUGUUCGAAGCCUACUCCCCGUAUCGGUGGCGUGCUGCCAGUCACAAUGGUGUCGGCGAUCUCAGACCACGAAAGGGGCUCUCUACGUGCUUCCUUGCAUCUGACGUCCGAAACAUGGGAGGGUCGUGAACAGGAGCAGCUGGAUUUAAACCUUUUCAGAAAACUCUGAAUGUUUUUGAACAGCUGGUUACACAAGAGUGGUAGAGGCACUGCUGUGGAUGCGGUACCAUCUUUCUUGCAAUCUAUGCGCUCAUUGAGAGCUACCCUAGGUUUUGCUGCUGUUCGAGCAAACAAGCGGAAGCAAACGAGAGAAGACGACGACGGUAUAGGUUGUUCUGCUGUGCGACCCUCCUCUGCCUCUCCUCUGAUGCCAUCGUGCUGCCCCUUCCUACAGCAGGCGUGAAGUAAGAAACUGCUUACACCACCAUGCAUCUCCAGCCUCCUUUUUUUCUUCUUUUAUGUUUCACUUGGUAAAUUGUACCUGAUGUUAUUAGGCUUCAUGUUUCUAAUGCGCAAUUUGCUCCAUGUGGUCAUGUGAACAAUCUACGUAGAAAGAUGAUUGCCAUAUACACAAUGUCAAGUACUGUUACUUCCUUUUGUUCAAGAAUGCAAAACAAGUAUGAUUUACGCAAUACACGAGUAUAUUUCAUUUUAUAUUAUAAAACAAAGAGAGAACUACAAGGAUACACUUUUAUUUUUCUGUUUCUUCUUCUCAACAUGUUUUUCUUAGUACUAAGCAGUGAUUGAAGCCAUAAAAAAAUAUAUCCUUAUUCCCUCUGAAUUAGAAUUUGAAUUAUGGACUUAUGAUGCUUAGGUUUGGAUCAGAUCAAAACCAUGUUACAAAUCAGUUUUUUUAAUCCCAGGGCUUCAUAAAAUUAGCCCGCCCUCUACUUUUCUUGCCCAAAGAGGUUAUGGUAGGAUUGGGUUAUGUACAGUUCUACAUCCAGAUAGAAUGUGUGAUUACCCAUAAUACUUAGAAAUACUGUUGUAUAAUGCUUUGACUGAAUUUGACUUUGAAUGAAUUUUAAGUGCAGGCAAAUUCAGUCUUAGAAACAUAUCGAUGCAUUCUAUUUUGCUGCAAAUUUAGUCGAGCUUAAAUCAUAAACAUUGGAUAUAAGCACAUCUAUGAUAUUAUAAUAUCUAGCAAUGCAGUCCGCAAGUGCAAUGCUUAUCAUCUAUUCUUUUUUCCUUUCUCAAAGCCACUUGUUGUAAGUGAGAUAAAGCAGAAGGGUCUUUGGCAAUCAAAUACUUUGGGGAAGGUAGCCUUGGUUGAUUUUUGGGCAGGCAAUAGCAGUUCUGUUUCUUUUUCGAUCUAAUUUAUUUUUAGGAAGAAGCAAUUUGUAAUGUUAUAAUUUUCAGACAAAUAUAACUUCAAUACCAUUCAUGGUGGAACAAUGAGGUUUAGUAUAUUGUAUUUGGUGAUUGUGAUCCUAUUCAAUAUGAAAAACAACUUUUUUUA